CGGACGGGUGAGUAACACGUGGAUAACCUACCUAUAAGACUGGGAUAACUUCGGGAAACCGGAGCUAAUACCGGAUAAUAUUUUGAACCGCAUGGUUCAAAAGUGAAAGACGGUCUUGCUGUCACUUAUAGAUGGAUCCGCGCUGCAUUAGCUAGUUGGUAAGGUAACGGAUUACCAAGGCAACGAUGCAUAGCCGACCUGAGAGGGUGAUCGGCCACACUGGAACUGAGACACGGUCCAG
rnacentral:rRNA from 1 species